GUGUACCAGUACAGAGUCAAUGUGGAGGCUAUAUGCAGGGGGUACUGGUACAGAGUCAAUGUGGAGGCUAUAUACAGGGGGUACCAGUACAGAGUCUAUGUGGAGACUAUAUACAGGGUGUUACGGUACAGAGUCAAUGUGGAAGCUAUAUACAGGGUGUUACGGUCAGAGUCAAUGUGGAGACUAUAUACAGGGUGUUACGGUACAGAGUCAAUGUGGAGACUAUAUACAGGGUGUUACGGUACAGAGUCAAUGUGGAGGCUAUAUACAGGGGGUACCGGUACAGAGUCAAUGUGGAGACUAUAUACAGGGUGUUACGGUACAGAGUCAAUGUGGAGACUAUAUACAGGGGGGUACCAGUACAGAGUCAAUGUGGAGGCUAUAUACAGGGUGUACCAGUACAGAGUCAAUGUGGAGGCUAUAUACAGGGUGUUACGGUACAG
rnacentral:lncRNA from 1 species